rnacentral:rRNA from 1 species
GACAGAGGCCCCGAGCGUUCGGCGGAAUCCCUGGGCUUAAAGCGUGUGUAGGCGGACUUCUACGUAUCUUGUGAAAUCCCACGGCUCACCCGUGGAACUGCUGGAUAUACUGGGAGUCUUGAGUCGUGCAGGGGCAGCCGGAACAAGCGGUGGAGCGGUGAAAUGCGCAGAUAUCAGGAGGAACACCGGUGGCGAAGGCGGGUCUCUGGGCAGUAACUGACGCUGGGGAGCGAAAGCGUGGGGAGCAAACAGG